UGUCAUUGUUUACGUUUUUUACUUUAUCAGUAUCCUUGACAUUAUUUUUCUCCUGUUACAUCACAAACAUGUGACAUUUCUCCUGCAGUGCCUAACUAUGUUUUGUAUGUGUGUAGAUAAGUGGACAGAAUGCAGUCUUCGCUAGCGAGAACGUUGUUUUUCAGUCACGCUGUAACGCUGAACUUCUGCGACACUGAUUGAAUAGAGCCACAAAAAAUUUUGAGAAUUUCUUGCAGCCAUAAGUGCCAUACUGAAAGCCAGUGAGGAGGAAGUAAAGGAGCUAAAGAGGAGCUAAAGAGAGAGAAUGCAGUUUCAAGUAAUUUGGCCAACAACUGUUUCUCAUGUGUUGAUUAAAAUUAAAAAACAUUUUUUUUUUUGUCGGCAGUUUAUUUUAUGCCUAUUUCUCAUGUGUUUUCUUUCAUAUUAUUUUAGCCCCUGGAGGCCAUUGUGACAUCCAGUGAGUGGCAACACAGCUUUGGAAGCCAGGAGGAGUGUCAGUGAGAGGGAGGGAGGAGCUGAAGAGAGAGAACGCAGGUAUCUUCACAGCACCAGUGAGAGGAGUCUACUACAUCAGAUUCACUGCCAUGGAUUACCUCAAAUCACAUUCAUGUGUGUAUAUCUUUACCACAAUGACAAGAGAGUUCUGUUAAAUAACUAAUAUGGUACCCAUGGAGAUCUUCAGUACAGGUCUAAUGCAUUGACUCUAGAGCUGGACGAGGGUGAUGUGAUCUACAUGCGUCUCCCCUCAGGCAGGAGGCUCUUUGAUAAUUCUAAUAACUACACCUUCAGUGGCUUCCUGCUCUUCCCUAUGUGAAGGGAGCACCGUCAAUUAUGUAAUGAUUUCUGAUGUGAACAGUUUGGAUGA